GUGGGGAAUAUUGGACAAUGGGCGAAAGCCUGAUCCAGCCAUGCCGCGUGUGUGAAGAAGGUCUUCGGAUUGUAAAGCACUUUAAGUUGGGAGGAAGGGCAGUAAGUUAAUACCUUGCUGUUUUGACGUUACCGACAGAAUAAGCACCGGCUAACUUCGUGCCAGCAGCCGCGGUAAUACGAAUGGUGCAAGCGUUAAUCGGAAUUACUGGGCGUAAAGCGCGCGUAGGUGGUUUUGUAAGUUGGAGGUGAAAUCCCCGGGCUCAACCUGGGAACUGCCUCCAAAACUGCAUGACUAGAGUACGGUAGAGGGUAGUGGAAUUUCCUGUGUAGCGGUGAAAUGCGUAGAUAUAGGAAGGAACACCAGUGGCGAAGGCGACUACCUGGACUGAUACUGACACUGAGGUGCGAAAGCGUGGGGAGCAAACAGGAUUAGAAACCCCGGUAGUCC
rnacentral:rRNA from 1 species